rnacentral:snRNA from 1 species
AGCUUUGCGCAGCGGCAGUAUCAUAGCCAGUGAGGUUUACUCCACGAGUGAUUAUUGCUAAUUGAAAAACUGAUGAACAUACGAAGUGCGUGUCUGUAGCUUCAUAGUACAGUCAGCCAACUUGAGACCUUGGCUCAGG